GUCCUUCGCCUCGAUUUCCCCAACGA
rnacentral:rRNA from 1 species